UACAGAGGUCCCGAGCGUUGUUCGGAUUCAUUGGGCGUAAAGGGUGCGUAGGCGGCUUCCUAAGUUUGAUGUGAAAUCCUGGGGCUCAACCCUGGAGCUGCAUUGAAUACUGGGAGGCUAGAGUACUGGAGAGGAAACUGGAAUUUACGGUGUAGCAGUGAAAUGCGUAGAGAUCGUAAGGAAGACCAGUGGCGAAGGCGAGUUUCUGGACAGUUACUGACGCUGAGGCACGAAGGCCAGGGGAGCAAACGGG
rnacentral:rRNA from 1 species